GUGAACGCUAGCGGUAGGCCUAACACAUGCAAGUCGAACGGCAGCACAGUAAGAGCUUGCUCUUACGGGUGGCGAGUGGCGGACGGGUGAGGAAUACAUCGGAAUCUACUUUUUCGUGGGGGAUAACGUAGGGAAACUUACGCUAAUACCGCAUACGACCUACGGGUGAAAGCAGGGGAUCUUCGGACCUUGCGCGAUUGAAUGAGCCGAUGUCGGAUUAGCUAGUUGGCGGGGUAAAGGCCCACCAAGGCGACGAUCCGUAGCUGGUCUGAGAGGAUGAUCAGCCACACUGGAACUGAGACACGGUCCAGACUCCUACGGGAGGCAGCAGUGGGGAAUAUUGGACAAUGGGCGCAAGCCUGAUCCAGCCAUACCGCGUGGGUGAAGAAGGCCUUCGGGUUGUAAAGCCCUUUUGUUGGGAAAGAAAAGCAGCAGGUUAAUACCCCGCUGUUCUGACGGUACCCAAAGAAUAAGCACCGGCUAACUUCGUG
rnacentral:rRNA from 1 species